rnacentral:rRNA from 1 species
AUGGUCUGGAUACUGUCCCUGAUCCACAACAAAGAUGGUAGUCUGGGUAGCACGCCCUACAUACCAGCAGACAUCACAAACCUAAAGGUGAAGUACUAUAGAGAGAGCAAGUUGGCUGACAUAGAAGACAUGAUUACCUACUUCGAAGAGAAAGCAAAAGAAGAUCUUGAUUUCUUCUACAAAAUAAGACUAGACGAUGAGGAAUGUGUAAGAAACAUGUAUUGGGUGGAUGGUGCAGCAAGAAGAGCCUACAAGCAUUUUCGUGAUUGCAUUUUUUUGACGCGACAUAUCUCACGAAUAUGUACAAGAUGCCAUGUGCUCCAUUCAUAG